rnacentral:tRNA from 1 species
GGCGAAGUCAGCUAACGAAGCUUUCGGGCCCAUACCCCGAACAUGACGGUUAAUACCCUUCCUACGCCA